rnacentral:rRNA from 1 species
AACGAACGCUGGCGGCAUGCCUAACACAUGCAAGUCGAACGAGACCUUCGGGUCUAGUGGCGCACGGGUGCGUAACGCGUGGUAACCUGCCCUUAGGUUCGGAAUCACUCCCCGUAAGGUGUGCUAAUACCGGUUAAUGUCUUCGGACCAAAGAUGUUUCGCCUUGAAUUGGGGCGCGUUGGGUUAGCGAGGUGGUAGGGGAAAAGCCUACCAAGGCGAGGGUGCAUAGCUGGGUGGGGUACAUGAUCCGCCACACUGGGACUGAGACACGGCCCCGACUCCUACGGGAGGCAGCAGUAGGGAAUAUUGGACGAUGGGCGAUAGCCUGAUACCGCAAUGCCGCGUGAGUGAUGCAGGCCUUAGGGUUGUAAAGCUCUUUUAGCCGGGAUGAUAAUGACAGUAACGGGAGAAUAAGCACCGGCUAACUACGUG